rnacentral:rRNA from 1 species
AGAGUUUGAUCCUGGCUCAGGACGAACGCUGGCGGCGCGCCUAACACAUGCAAGUCGAACGAGCGAGAGAGCUUGCUUUCUCGAGCGAGUGGCGAACGGGUGAGUAACGCGUGAGGAACCUGCCUCAAAGAGGGGGACAACAGUUGGAAACGACUGCUAAUACCGCAUAAGCCCACGGGUCGGCAUCGACCAGAGGGAAAAGGAGCAAUCCGCUUUGAGAUGGCCUCGCGUCCGAUUAGCUAGUUGGUGAGGUAACGGCCCACCAAGGCAACGAUCGGUAGCCGGACUGAGAGGUUGAACGGCCACAUUGGGACUGAGACACGGCCCAGACUCCUACGGGAGGCAGCAGUGGGGAAUAUUGCACAAUGGGGGAAACCCUGAUGCAGCGACGCCGCGUGGAGGAAGAAGGUCUUCGGAUUGUAAACUCCUGUUGUUGAGGAAGAUAAUGACGGUACUCAACAAGGAAGUGACGGCUAACUACGUGCCAGCAGCCGCGGUAAAACGUAGGUCACAAGCGUUGUCCGGAAUUACUGGGUGUAAAGGGAGCGCAGGCGGGAAGACAAGUUGGAAGUGAAAUCCAUGGGCUCAACCCAUGAACUGCUUUCAAAACUGUUUUUCUUGAGUAGUGCAGAGGUAGGCGGAAUUCCCGGUGUAGCGGUGGAAUGCGUAGAUAUCGGGAGGAACACCAGUGGCGAAGGCGGCCUACUGGGCACCAACUGACGCUGAGGCUCGAAAGUGUGGGUAGCAAACAGGAUUAGAUACCCUGGUAGUCCACACCGUAAACGAUGAUUACUAGGUGUUGGAGGAUU